rnacentral:misc_RNA from 1 species
UGGUAAUAAUUGCCAUAUUUGUAGAUGUUCUCUUGAAAAUGCGCCGGUGAGGGCUUGGGUUGUUUUGAAGCAGAGUAGGACUAGUGCUGCCUGGUUUGGCACUCUGGCUUCGGCUUCUGGGUCUGAGAAGGGUGUUCCCGUCACUUCUGCUGAGGAGGUGGAGGACUCCUUAAGUGGGGUUGAGGAUAAAGAGGAAAAUGUGAGUGCCUCGGAGGAGAAGCCCGGGUUACAUAGGAG